UGUCCUAUGGUGUAAUUGGUAACACGUCUGACUCUGGAUCAGAAAAGUUAAGGUUCGAACCCUUAUAGGACAA
rnacentral:tRNA from 1 species